UACGAAGGGUGCAAGCGUUAAUCGGAAUUACUGGGCGUAAAGCGCGCGUAGGCGGUUUGGUAAGUGUGAUGUGAAAUCCCCGGGCUCAACCUAGGAACUGCAUCACAUACUGCCAGGCUAGAGUACGGUAGAGGGUGGUGGAAUUUCCUGUGUAGCGGUGAAAUGCGUAGAUAUAGGAAGGAACACCAGUGGCGAAGGCGACACCUGGACUGAUACUGACACUGAGGUGCGAAAGCGUGGGGAGCAAACAGGAUUAGAAACCCGGGUAGU
rnacentral:rRNA from 1 species